rnacentral:misc_RNA from 1 species
UAAGCAGAUCAGACAGCUUCCCUAUCGAAUCCGGUAUCCAGUCAAUCUGAUCCGAAAGCUUGUUCUGAAGAACGAGUUCCCGCGCACCACUCUUCUUCGUAGCCUCAAUCAAACUAGCCAGCUUGAUCAAGCUUAGCUUCUCACUUCCUCCCCCACCAGUAGCAGCAGCAUCAAUAUCAGGCUUGGUGCCGAAUUUGAACAAACUCG